GGGGAUUUAGCUCAGUGGUAGAGCACUUGACUAGCAAGCACAAGGCCCUGGGUUCAGUCCCCAGCUCCG
rfam:Rattus norvegicus chromosome 13, whole genome shotgun sequence.